rnacentral:misc_RNA from 1 species
AAGUCGUAACAAGGUUUCCGUAGGUGAACCUGCGGAAGGAUCAUUAAAGUAUCUUCUCGGGAGGGAGGCCAGUCCAGCUCCGGUCCCCCAAAGGGCCGUGCAGCGGGCGAACCGCCCGACCGAAACCUCACAAACCCCGUGCACUUUCCGACGGUGGAGGGAGAACCGGGCGAGAGCUCGGGAUUCCUGAAGCCGCCGACUCACAAACCCCUCUUUUAAAGAAUGACACAGCGACCGUCGUGUCGCCUAACUUAACGAAACAACUUUCAACAACGGAUCUCUUGGCUCUC